rnacentral:lncRNA from 1 species
UAACCCACAAGCUUUGUUGUCCCACUUUUCAACUUUUGAAUAUUAUUGUUCUCGUAUAUUAUAUUUGGAUAAUACACCACACAAACAAAAUUAACAAAUAUUAUAGCUCUUAAAUUCUUUAUACACACACAUAUGCAUGAUACAUCUACACAUUGCAAAAAAAAAUUGGAAAUCAAAACUCAGACUUCAAUAAUACAAAAGAUCAAAUGGGUCAACAACAUAAAAUAAAUAUGAAAGGAAUAUAAGAACAAUGGUUAUAAGAAUAUUAAAUCAUAGCAUGUACGAAAAUUCCCAAAGUUGUGGCAUUCAUGUCGAGGAAAACUCAUGUCAUUUUCCACAGACAUAUUCAAAAUUUCAUCUCUCAA